rnacentral:rRNA from 1 species
UACGGAGGGUGCAAGCGUUGUUCGGAAUCAUUGGGCGUAAAGGGCGCGUAGGCGGUCCGGUAAGUCGGGUGUGAAAGCCCCGUGCUCAACCCGGGAAGUGCAUUCGAAACUGCCGGACUUGAGUACGGGAGGGGGAAGUGGAAUUCCUGGUGUAGGGGUGAAAUCCGUAGAUAUCAGGAGGAACACCGGUGGCGAAGGCGACUUCCUGGACCGAUACUGACGCUGAGGCGCGAAAGCGUGGGGAGCAAACAGG